rnacentral:rRNA from 1 species
AGGCACGCUAACUACGUGCCAGCAGUCGCGGUAAUACGUAGGUUGCAGCGUUAUCCGGAUUUAUUGGGCGUAAAGCGAGCGCAGGCGGUUUUUUAAGUCUGAUGUGAAAGCCCUCGGCUUACCCGAGGAAGCGCAUCGGAAACUGGGAAACUUGAGUGCAGAAAGAGGACAGUGGAACUCCAUGUGUAGCGGUGAAAUGCGUAGAUAUAUGGAAGAACACCAGUGGCGAAGGCGGCUGUCUGGUCUGUAACUGACGCUGAGGCUCGAAAGCAUGGGUAGCGAACAGGAUUAGAUACCCUGGUAGUCCAUGCCGUAAACGAUGAAUGCUAGGUGUUGGAGGGUUUCCGCCCUUCAGUGCCGCAGCUAACGCAUUAAGCAUUCCGCCUGGGGAGUACGACCGCAAGGUUGAAACUCAAAGGAAUUGACGGGGGCCCGCACAAGCGGUGGAGCAUGUGGUUUAAUUCGAAGCAACGCGAAGAACCUUACCAGGUCUUGACAUCUUUUGAUCACCUGAGAGAUCAGGUUUCCCCUUCGGGGGCAAAAUGACAGGUGGUGCAUGGUUGUCGUCAGCUCGUGUCGUGAGAUGUUGGGUUAAGUCCCGCAACGAGCGCAACCCUUAUGACUAGUUGCCAGCAUUUAGUUGGGCACUCUAGUAAGACUGCCGGUGACAAACCGGAGGAAGGUGGGGAUGACGUCAAAUCAUCAUGCCCCUUAUGACCUGGGCUACACACGUGCUACAAUGGAUGGUACAACGAGUUGCGAGACCGCGAGGUCAAGCUAAUCUCUUAAAGCCAUUCUCAGUUCGGACUGUAGGCUGCAACUCGCCUACACGAAGUCGGAAUCGCUAGUAAUCGCGGAUCAGCACGCCGCGGUGAAUACGUUCCCGGGCCUUGUACACACCGCCCGUCACACCAUGAGAGUUUGUAACACCCGAAGCCGGUGGCGUAACCCUUUUAGGGAGCGAGCCGUCUAAGGUGGGACAAAUGAUUAGG